AAGCAGCUGAGUUCUCAUCUUCAGUCUCAUCAAGAUGGACAAACUGUCUGUUCUGCUGACAGCGCUCUGUCUGCCCUGUUUGAAUGGCCAGGCACUGGAGUCCAUUCCCUCCAGUUCAGUACUGAAAAAGCCUCAGGAAGCCCUCAGUCUGUCCUGCAGGGGAACUGGAUUUGAUUUCAGUAGCUAUGGAAUGCACUGGAUCAGACAACCUGCAGGAAAAGCACUGGAAUGGAUGGGGCUUAUUUACUACGAUGCAAGUAAAACUGUAUAUGCCAGCAGUUUGCAAGGAUGUAUAGAAAUCACCAGAGAAAACAGCAAUAGUAUUGUGCAUCUGAGACUGUCCAGCCUAAAGCUGGAGGACUCGGCUGUGUACUACUGUGCUAGAUACACACUGGUUAAAGUGGGGCGAGAGGCUUUACAAAAACCUCAAAUAACCUAUGUUUGCAAUGAUCUACAGGGGGCAGCAGCAGAUCAGAAACAGCAACUGUUUGGCAUCACACUUACACAAACAAAGGAAAACACACAAUGUGAAAGCAGCAGCUGA